rnacentral:rRNA from 1 species
CAUUGGUAGCUUGCUAGAAGAUGACGAGUGGCGGACGGGUGAGUAAUGCUUGGGAACUUGCCUUUGCGAGGGGGAUAACAGUUGGAAACGACUGCUAAUACCGCAUAAUGUCUUCGGACCAAACGGGGCUUCGGCUCCGGCGCAAAGAGAGGCCCAAGUGAGAUUAGCUAGUUGGUAAGGUAACGGCUUACCAAGGCGACGAUCUCUAGCUGUUCUGAGAGGAAGAUCAGCCACACUGGGACUGAGACACGGCCCAGACUCCUACGGGAGGCAGCAGUGGGGAAUAUUGCACAAUGGGGGAAACCCUGAUGCAGCCAUGCCGCGUGUGUGAAGAAGGCCUUCGGGUUGUAAAGCACUUUCAGUUGUGAGGAAAAGUUAGUAGUUAAUACCUGCUAGCCGUGACGUUAACAACAGAAGAAGCACCGGCUAACUCCGUGCCAGCAGCCGCGGUAAUACGGAGGGUGCGAGCGUUAAUCGGAAUUACUGGGCGUAAAGCGCACGCAGGCGGUUUGUUAAGCUAGAUGUGAAAGCCCCGGGCUCAACCUGGGAUGGUCAUUUAGAACUGGCAGACUAGAGUCUUGGAGAGGGGAGUGGAAUUCCAGGUGUAGCGGUGAAAUGCGUAGAUAUCUGGAGGAACAUCAGU